rnacentral:rRNA from 1 species
UGAGGAAUAUUGGGCAAUGGGCGCAAGCCUGACCCAGCCAUGCCGCGUGAAGGAUGAAUGCCCUAUGGGUUGUAAACUUCUUUUGUACGGGACGAAUCUCUCGAACGUGUUCGGGACUGACUGUACCGUACGAAUAAGCAUCGGCUAACUCCGUGCCAGCAGCCGCGGUAAUACGGAGGAUGCAAGCGUUAUCCGGAUUCAUUGGGUUUAAAGGGUGCGUAGGCGGAAGAAUAAGUCAGUGGUGAAAGCCUGCGGCUUAACCGUAGAAUUGCCAUUGAUACUGUUUUUCUUGAGUAUAGUUGAAGUGGGCGGAAUGUGUAAUGUAGCGGUGAAAUGCUUAGAUAUUACACAGAACACCAAUUGCGAAGGCAGCUCACUAAGCUGUUACUGACGCUGAGGC